rnacentral:rRNA from 1 species
GAAUUCGCCCUUAGAGUUUGAUCCUGGCUCAGGAUGAACGCUGGCGGCGUGCCUAAUACAUGCAAGUCGAACGAGGCCCUUUGUAUUCGUACGAAGGUGUCCUAGUGGCGAACGGGUGAGUAACACGUAGGUGACCUGCCCCGAAGCGGGGGACAACUCCGGGAAACUGGAGCUAAUACCCCAUGUUCUCCAUGGUGUUAGAGGACCAUGGAGCAAAGGAGCAAUCCACUUUGGGAGGGGCCUGCGGCCCAUCAGCUAGUUGGUAGGGUAAUGGCCUACCAAGGCUAUGACGGGUAGGGGACCUGAGAGGGUGGUCCCCCACACUGGAACUGAAACACGGACCAGACACCUACGGGUGGCAGCAGUAGGGAAUAUUGCACAAUGGGCGAAAGCCUGAUGCAGCAACGCCGCGUGCGCGAUGAAGGCCUUCGGGUUGUAAAGCGCUUUUCUGGGGGAAGAGGAAGGACGGUACCCCAGGAAUAAGUCUCGGCUAACUACGUGCCAGCAGCCGCGGUAAAACGUAGGAGGCGAGCGUUAUCCGGAUUUACUGGGCGUAAAGCGCGUGUAGGCGGUUAGGUAAGUCGGACGUGAAAGCUCCCGGCUCAACUGGGAGAGGCCGUUCGAAACUACCUGACUUGAGGGCAGUAGAGGGAGGUGGAAUUCAGGGUGUAGCGGUGAAAUGCGUAGAUAUCCUGAGGAACACCAGU